rnacentral:rRNA from 1 species
AGGAUUCCCCUAGUAACGGCGAGUGAAGCGGGAAAAGCUCAAAUUUGAAAUCUGGCGGNCUACGGCCGUCCGAGUUGUAGUCUAGAGAGGUGUCUUCUGCGUCGGACCAUGCACAAGUCCCUUGGAACAGGGCGUCAUAGAGGGUGAGAAUCCCGUCCGUGGCAUGGACUCCCGGUGCUUUGUGAUGCGCCUUCGAAGAGUCGAGUUGUUUGGGAAUGCAGCUCAAAAUGGGUGGUAAAUUCCAUCUAAGGCUAAAUACAGGCGAGAGACCGAUAGCGAACAAGUACCGUGAGGGAAAGAUGAAAAGCACUUUGGAAAGAGAGUUAAACAGUACGUGAAAUUGUUGAAAGGGAAACGCUUGGAGUCAGUCGCGUUUGCCGGGACUCAGCCUUGCUUCUGCUUGGUGCACUUCCUGGUACACGGGCCAGCAUCGAUUUUGAUCGCCGGAAAAAGGCUUGGGGAAGGUGGCACCUUCGGGUGUGUUAUAGCCCCUUGUUGUAUACGGUGGUUGGGAUUGAGGACCGCAGCACGCCUUUUGGUCGGGGUUCGCCCACGCCACGUGCUUAGGAUGCUGGCGUAAUGGCUUUAAACGACCCGUCUUGAAACACGGACCAAGGAGUCUAACAUGCCUGCGAGUGUUUGGGUGUAAAACCCAGGCGCGUAAUGAAAGUGAAAGGUUGGGACUCUUCGCUGAGGCACCGACGCCCGAUCCUGACGUUCUCUGACGGAUUUGAGGUAGAGCAUGUAUGUUGGGACCCGAAAGAUGGUGAACUAUGCCUGAAUAGGGCGAAGCCAGAGGAAACUCUGGUG